GCCAGCGUAGCUCAGACGGCAGAGCAACUGACUUGUAAUCAGUGGGUCGGGGGUUCGAUUCCCUCCGCUGGCUCCA
rnacentral:tRNA from 1 species